CCCAACUAAACCCAUACCCGGGUCCUUUUCCUUGGUGCUGCCAGUCUAUGUCCUAUGUGGUCAUGGAGCUGAGGUGUCUUGGGGAGGAUCUAUUAUCAAACAUUUACCCAAUCUGUCGUCUGAGGAGGCUUCAUGCUAAAAUCAUUAAACAUGUUAAAACUUUCAACAACGGAUCUCUUGGCUCUCGCAUCGAUGAAGAACGCAGCGAAAUGCGAUAAGUAAUGUGAAUUGCAGAAUUCAGUGAAUCAUCGAAUCUUUGAACGCACAUUGCGCCCUUUGGCAUUCCUCAGGGCAUGCCUGUUCGAGCGUCACUAACAACUAUUUCACAUCUAAUGUGGUAUUGACUGAUGUGGAUAGCACCUCCUGUGCCCGCUCCACUCAGUUGAAAUGGAUAGGCCAGAGAAGCAAACCAUGGCAACAGACUCAAGGAGUAUGACAGUACUAAACUAGUCUGUAGCGGGUGGG
rnacentral:sRNA from 2 species